rnacentral:rRNA from 1 species
AUUGAACGCUGGCGGCAUGCCUUACACAUGCAAGUCGAACGGUAACGCGGGGCAACCUGGCGACGAGUGGCGAACGGGUGAGUAAUGUAUCGGAACGUGCCCAGUUGUGGGGGAUAACUGCUCGAAAGAGCAGCUAAUACCGCAUACGACCUGAGGGUGAAAGCGGGGGAUCGCAAGACCUCGCGCAAUUGGAGCGGCCGAUAUCAGAUUAGGUAGUUGGUGGGGUAAAGGCCCACCAAGCCGACGAUCUGUAGCUGGUCUGAAAGGACGACCAGCCGCACUGUGACUGAGACACGGCCCAGACUCCUACGGGAGGCAGCAGUGGGGAAUGUGGAACAAUGGACGCAAGUCUGAUCCAGCCAUGCCGCGUGCGGGAAGAAGGCCUUCGGGUUGUAAACCGCUUUUGUCAGGGAAGAAAAGGCUCCUUCUAAUAUAGGGGGCUCAUGACGGUACCUGAAGAAUAAGCACCGGCUAACUACGUGCCAGCCGCCGCGGUAAGAC